CCCAUUCAUCUAGGUUUAGCAUUAGUGUCAAUGGAUAAAGACAAACAGGGACAGGUAUACGCACCCAUUCAUCUAGGUUUAGCAUUAGUGUCGAUGGAUAAAGACAAACAGGAACAGGUAUACGCACCCAUUCAUCUAGGUUUAGCAUUAGUGUCGAUGGAUAAAGACAAACAGGAACAGGUAUACACACCCAUUCAUCUAGGUUUAUCAUUAGUGUCGAUGGAUAAAGACAAACAGGAACAGGUAUACGCACCGAUUCAUCUAGGUUUAGCAUUAGUGUCAAUGGAUAAAGACAAACAGGAACAGGUAUACGCACCCAUUCAUCUAGGUUUAGCAUUAGAGUCAAUAGAUAAAGACAAACAAUAACAGGUAUACGCACCCAUUCAUCUAGGUUUAGCAUUAGUGUCGAUGGAUAAAGACAAACAGGAACAGGUAUACACACCCAUUCAUCUAGGUUUAGCAUUAGUGUCAAUGGAUAAAGACAAACAGGAACAGGUAUACGCACCUAUUCAUCUAGGUUUAGCAUUAGUGUCGAUGGAUCAAGACAAACAGGAACAGGUAUACGCACCCAUUCAUCUAGGUUUAUCAUUAGUGUCGAUGGAUAAAGACAAACAGGAACAGGUAUACGCACCGAUUCAUCUAGGUUUAGCAUUAGUGUCAAUGGAUAAAGACAAACAGGAACAGGUAUACGCACCCAUUCAUCUAGGUGUAGCAUUAGUGUCGAUGGAUAAAGACAAACAGGAACAGGUAUACGCACCCAUUCAUCUAGGUUUAGCAUUAGUGUCGAUGGAUAAAGACAAACAGGAACAGGUAUACGCACCCAUUCAUCUAGGUUUAGCAUUAGUGUCGAUGGAUAAAGACAAACAGGAACAGGUAUACGCACCCAUUCAUCUAGGUUUAGCAUUAGUGUCGAUGGAUAAAGACAAACAGGAACAGGUAUACGCACCCAUUCAUCUAGGUUUAGCAUUAGUGUCGAUGGAUAAAGACAAAA